UGCCCAGCAACUCCUAUCCCUACCUCCUCGUGGUACCGGCCGGAAACUAUGAGCAACCUUAGGGAAGAUCGGGUAACCAACCCCGGUGGGAACUUUGGUCGUGGGCUGACUGGGGAGG
rnacentral:ribozyme from 1 species